UAAGGAAUAUUCCACAAUGGGGGAAACCCUGAUGGAGCAACGCCGCGUGCAGGAUGAAGGCCCUCGGGUCGUAAACUGCUUUUAUGGGUGAAUAAUAUGAAUGUAACCCUUGAAUAAGCACCGGCUAACUACGUGCCAGCAGCCGCGGUCAUACGUAGGGUACAAGCAUUAUCCGGAGUGACUGGGCGUAAAGAGUUGCGUAGGUGGUUUGUCUAGUGAAUAGUGAAAUCUGGUGGCUCAACCACACAGACUAUUAUUCAAACUGGCAGACUCGAGAGUAGCAGAGGUAACUGGAAUUUCUAGUGUAGGAGUGAAAUCCGUAGAUAUUAGAAGGAACACCGAUGGCAUAGGCAGGUUACUGGGCUAUUUCUGACACUGAGGCACGAAAGCGUGGGGAGCGAACC
rnacentral:rRNA from 1 species